GAGUCGACCCCUAAGGCGAGGCCGAAAGGCGUAGUCGAUGGGAAACAGGUUAAUAUUCCUGUACUUGGUGUUACUGCGAAGGGGGGACGGAGAAGGCUAUGUUGGCCGGGCGACGGUUGUCCCGGUUUAAGCGUGUAGGCUGGUUUUCCAGGCAAAUCCGGAAAAUCAAGGCUGAGGCGUGAUGACGAGGCACUACGGUGCUGAAGCAACAAAUGCCCUGCUUCCAGGAAAAGCCUCUAAGCAUCAGGUAACAUCAAAUCGUACCCCAAACCGACACAGGUGGUCAGGUAGAGAAUACCAAGGCGCUUGAGAGAACUCGGGUGAAGGAACUAGGCAAAAUGGUGCCGUAACUUCGGGAGAAGGCACGCUGAUAUGUAGGUGAAGUCCCUCGCGG
rnacentral:rRNA from 1 species